AAGGUUUUAAGUUAAAUUAAACUAAUAGCCUUCAAAGCUAUAAAUGGAAUUAUUUCCAAACCUUG
rnacentral:tRNA from 1 species